rnacentral:tRNA from 1 species
ACUCAGUGGUAAAGUGCUCAGGUGCUAACUGAAAGGUUGGUGGUUCAAAUCCACC